rnacentral:tRNA from 1 species
UGCGAGAUAGAGCAGUGGUACGCUCGUCAGGCUCAUAAUCUGAAGGUCGUAGGUUCGAAUCCUACUCUCGCAU